AAACAAAACAAAUCGUAGCUGUCCGCAGGUGCACCGGCGCUCCUGGCCAAAUGUUCCAGGUUAGAAUGAAAGUUGAGACAGCUACCUCAGAAGAGGCUUUUCAGGUAAGACGUCCCAGAAUGCUUUGAGGAGAAACCCGCCAGCGUGCAUAUUUGUGUGUAAAGCAGUUGCCUUUUUUUUAAGGUCUUCAGCAGCUGCUCACCUCUGGGGAAAAGAUAAUUCCUUCUCUUGGCUGGAGGAUGAGACUUCAAUAAAGCUCUGAAAGCUGCCAGAAACUUACACCAUGUUAUGUAUCGGCGCAGAGCAAAUCCUCAACAUCCAGCCUCGUCCUUCUCCGUCACUGCCCCGCUCCGCAAAGACACAUGUACUCCAUCUUUGGCUGAGACACCUGUCCACACCGUGAGUCCCAUCUAUCACAGAUUCAGCAGGGUGACCCUGGUCUUCGUUUCCCAGCCUCCCGUCUUCGCCCUCCUCUGGAGUCGUCUCUGACCCGCCACAAGUCUGUAAGUAGGCCAGGUGAAUCAUGUGACUCUCAGAAACAAACCUACAGGUAUAAAAAUGCUAAGCCUGCAUAUGAUCGCUGCAUGGGAGAACAAAUGACCGACUUUACCCCAAUUAGACUUCACAACAGUUAGUUGCCAUGAUAUAGAUACUCUUUGUAAUAUAUGAGAAGCUGUCUACAGAUGAACAGAGGUCGCGUGGGUAGGAGCCCUGAUUCAGAACAAGAUUUUUUUUUUUUUUUAAACCUGAAAUAAGAUGAAGUUAAUCAAGAAGUGUGAGGUGAGAUUUACUGUACAGGAUAUUAACAGUACACACUGUAGUUUUGUACAGGAAGUCAGGAGCUUUAACCGAGUGUUUCCCUCUUGGAUCAAUUCACACAAAACCACUACAAGCUAAGUAGUGUACCCUGAACUCUCAAACAAAGUUGUGCUUCACCCGAACCUGCUCGCCGCUGAUGAAAAAGUUUCUUCUCAGGGCCAGCAGGUUACUUCCAAUAUGCAAUAAAACCGCCCGCCCACCAGGGUCAGCAUGAGAACAGCAGUUCAUAAACCGAGGGGCUGCUGCAGGAAGCUGCGAGCCGGGGCCUCGUCAGCGGCGGCUCCUUACAUUAGCAGAACAGCGAGCUCUUCCUCAGCGGUGAUGAGCGAAUGAAAUCUGGGUCACGUCAAUACACAUCCGGGCACCGCCGUCAUCACAGAGUCUCGCUGUCUCCUGAUCAAAGAGCACUGAGACCGUGUGUGUUCAAAUCAUACUUUGGUUCAAGUAAGAAAAGAAAAAUCAAUAUUCAUAAACUUUGUAUCUGACAACCACAACACCUUGCGCUAAUUAGCGAGUCUUCCCGGCUCCAGUGAAAGAGGGGCCGAAGAUUUACUGCAGUUGUGAUUUUCUUUUUCCUGAAGUGUUUGUCGGCUAAAAGUAGGAUGUGAUGUUUUUGCAUUUGAUGGGGCAGAAGUGUAGCGUGUGUGUGCGUGUGUGUGUGUGUGUGUGUUUGUGUGUGUGUCUGUAAAAGGGGGUUUUUCAGGGGAGAUCAGUUCACACUAUCACCAUCACACUUUCAAUCAUAUAACACAUGAUCACAUGUUACAGUAAAUAUCAGGGACAUAUUUAGUUGGAGGGGUGGGGGGGUCUGAUAUCUAUGUUCGGGGGCCAGAGGCUUUCCUGCCCACCCCCUCUACUCCCUGACAUCACCACAGCCCAUAUAAUAGAUAUGUAUAUAUAUUUAUAUACAGAAAAAAGAAUACAUACUUAUUGGACACCCUAGACAUUAAUGUACAUUCAAAGAACUGAACCAACAUUCUUGUUUAAACACGUUUACAGUGACUCUCCUGAUAUAAAGAAUUAAGGUUUCGCUUCCACCAAAAAGUAAAACUUCUUUUUUCUCUUUAAAAGUUUUCAGUGCUGCAAAAAAUAAACGAAACGGAAAAACACACAAAUAAAUAUUCUCAGAAUACAUUGACAAAAGAAAUCGACAUAUUUUUAGCCCUCGUUCCUUGUUACCGUUGGAUGGGCACUACUGUAUUUCUAUAAUGUUUUAUCUAGCGACAUAGUCUAUAUGCCUCAGGCUUGUGUUUUGGUUAUGCACCUGCUGAUGUAGUACAAUGGGAUUAUUCGAUUAUAAUUCAAUUUGUUACAUGGACGUUGAUGAGUUAUUCUCGUCAGGUGGAAACGUGCAUCCUUGGUAGUAACGCACCUUCGUUAUCGCGUCGGUCUGAUAGUUUGUCCGUCGGUGCAGAGUGACACAAAGGCUUGGGCUCGGAGUCUGGCAGGUGAGUAAAGUCGGCGACUUCUGCGCCAUUUUCUUUAACUAGUCCUCAGUCAUUGACCUCUGCUGGGGCGUGGAGAGGGGCAGACCGGGGAGGCUCGGCUUUAUACCGUCUCACCGUCCCGCCGUGGCUCACCCCCCCACUCCCCAACGCUGUAAACCAGUGACACUGCCCAUUGGGGAGGGCGGGGAUGCCCAAUGGUGCUGCCAGGAGAAAGUGACAUCACGACAGUAUCCACGGGGGACGCUGCUAACAGGAGGCGCUGCCGGUCAGUGACACCGCAACAAGGAGGAAGGAGCGACAUCACCGGCCCGGAAAAAAGGAAGGAGCGAAGUUUUAAGGAAGGAGGUCGGGGAGGUUGGAAGGAAGAAGGCGGAGCAGUGAG
rnacentral:lncRNA from 1 species